GUGGAUUAGAUACCCUAGUAGUCCACGCCGUAAACUAUGAUUACUCGCUGUUGGCGAUAUAUUGUCAGCGGCUGAGCGAAAGCAUUAAGUAAUCCACCUGGGGAGUACGAUCGCAAGGUUGAAACUCAAAGGAAUUGACGGGGGCCCGCACAAGCGGAGGAACAUGUGGUUUAAUUCGAUGAUACGCGAGGAACCUUACCUGGGCUUAAAUGUAGAGCGACAGACUGGGAAACUGGUCCUUCUUCGGACGAUCUACAAGGUGCUGCACGGUCGUCGUCAGCU
rnacentral:rRNA from 1 species